AACGUUAUUUUCAAUAUGGCUGCUGGCAUUCGACGAGGAAAUGUUGUACCAUGUAAUCAAGUUUAAUUAUGAUUGGGGUGUUGCUUUAUCUGGCAUCUUUCUCUCAACACAUCCUUAAUAAUUAAUGAAGGUUCUACUUCAGGUGUAGGCCUACCCCUUUUGGUUGUUACUACGAGAAAAUGAGAUGGCAUCUUGUGUCAGUCUCGCCAGUCUUUAAGUCAUCAUCAUGGUGUUGUACAAAUAUACAGCAAACAAGUAGAUGUCUUUGCACAUCCAUUAAUACUGCAAAAGAAUUCUUUGUUGAUUAAAGAAGAAGUCCAAUAUCGGCUGCAAUCUGCAGAAUAAUCCCACUCGUCGCAGACUCGCAGUGGGGUUCGAAUUCGUCAACCAGAGGUGUAGUCUUUGUUCUUUGAUGAUAGCCUAAACCACGUCAUUCGUGGUCCCGCACUCCCGCUGCCCUGGCAUCAGGGCUGGGUUGUUCCGAGGGCCACACCACCCGGUAAAUUUGCCAAUGCAGAGUUGAUGAAGAUCCCCAACUUUCUUCACUUGACACCACCCACUAUUGAGAGACAAAUGCCAAGCAUUGAAAAAGUUCUGCAUAGAGUGCCGUAAGAGUAGGAUACCAACGAAAAGAUUGAAAAUCAUUUACCCAUCACAAUCACAACUAGUGAUUACCUCAAUUCUUUCUCCUCAUUGAGUGAUGCCCGAGCCAGAAUUGUAACACUCCAGGUGAAAUUGAGCUCUUUGAAAUUGGAGAACCAUGCCAAGGAUAAAUUCCUCUUUUUCCUGUACCAGCUGAUUAUCAGUCUGGUAAAAGUAUUAGCUUCUUUGUUGCUGCCCAACAUACACAUGGAUUUGAUGCAGUCGGCUGAGGGCUUUAACUCUUGUUUAUUGUUUUAUGUUCGCGUAGUUGCUGUCCGAUGUGGCACGUUGUUGAAGCCUAUGCUGGUGAAAGAUCUUUCUACAUCAAGUUCAAUUGGCCGUUCCUUGGUGCUGAUGUUGUGUUACCGAAGUUGCAUCAAAUUUUGUUAAAUUGUCAUCGUGAAUAUUGCAGUUUACCGUUUAUAAGUUCAGUAGCAACAAAAACAAAUAUGGGAUGUUCAUGUCAAACAAAUAAUAUACAUGUUUUUGGGGUUGGGAAAGUGGUAGAUUUUGUAGGGGGAAGGAGGAUAUUUCAAGUUUG